UACGGGGGAUGCAAGCGUUAUCCGGAUUUAUUGGGUUUAAAGGGUGCGUAGGCUGUGAGGUAAGUCAGCGGUGAAAUGCCCCCGCUCAACGGGGUGAAGUGCCAUUGAUACUGCCUUGCUGGAAUGCGGAUGCCGUGGGAGGAAUGUGAGGUGUAGCGGUGAAAUGCAUAGAUACCACACAGAACACCGAUUGCGAAGGCAUCUCACGAAUCCGCGAUUGACGCUGAUGCACGAAAGCGUGGGUAUCAAACAGG
rnacentral:rRNA from 1 species